rnacentral:rRNA from 1 species
UACGUAGGGUGCAAGCGUUACUCGGAAUUACUGGGCGUAAAGCGUGCGCAGGCGGUUGUACAAGACAGGUGUGAAAUCCCCGGGCUCAACCUGGGAACUGCACUUGUGACUGUAUGACUGGAGUACGGCAGAGGGGGAUGGAAUUCCGCGUGUAGCAGUGAAAUGCGUAGAUAUGCGGAGGAACACCGAUGGCGAAGGCAAUCCCCUGGGCCUGUACUGACGCUCAUGCACGAAAGCGUGGGGAGCAAACAGG